CUCUCUUCUUUCCCAUUCCCUCCCCAGACCCAAUCCCCAGUGCACCUCCAUUGCACCCGACCUCUUCCCUCCCUCUACCUCUCUCUAUCUCUCUCACUCUCACUCUCUCUGCCUCUCUCUUCUCUCUUAUCCCCUCCAUAGACCCAACCCCCACCUCAGACCUAACCCUCCAUGGAAUUACUCAAUACACCCAAAUUACCACCACUCAAAAUUUAUUUAAAAAAAAUAUAUCAUCGACAACCAUUCCCCAUCUUCUCUCUUGGCAGAGAGUGGGAGAAAGAGGCACAUAGAAGAAAGAAUAUGGGAGGGGUGUGGUGCGAUGGGGGUUGGGGAGGGGAGAGAAGAGAGAGGUAAAAGGAAAUGAAGGGUGGGAGCGCUGGG
rnacentral:lncRNA from 1 species